AAAUCACUGGCAUUUACACCAUCAUAAGACCAAGAUUGCUAAUUUUUAAAGUGUUUUCCCUUGUAGCCUCUCUUUAUAAAUCUCCCCCUUCCAGAGCCUGGGGCUAAAAUCAAAGGGACAGAUUUAGGAUGGGUGGAUGCUUUGUCCUUUAGCUUUGUCUGACAUUUUACUUACUAUUUUUUUAGCUUUUUUUGAAAUUAUAAUACCAGUUACAAUUUGAGAGAAUAAACAAAAUUUGGGUUUCUGAAAACUCGGGAGGGAGUUAGAAGAUAAGUGAGACGUGGAUGAAUCAGCUAUAUUAGAAAACCUGGGAAGGUGAGCUGAGUUGGAAACUUGAUAGAUCUAAUAAUUUAUUGGCUCAGGAUUUGUCAAUCACCCAGCUCAGCAAAUGAGAUUAGAGCAGAGUCAUAGGGGAGGGAGGGAGUGACGCAGCAAACUAUUUGCACCAAGAAAAUCUAGUCAAAAGACCUCUGUGUAAUCGUAUUGCGGCACCAGUUUUUCUUGCAGCAGCUGCCGCUUGCGAAGGAGGUCCGCCCAACUGCAGCUCUCUGCCGUCUCUGGCUCGCUCCUGCGAGACUGGCCUCGCCACUCUCUGAACCCAAGCCCAUCCUCCGUCCACUUCUCACAGCAUUCAUCCCCGCAGCAGCCUCCACCGUUAUUCCCGCAGCCCAGCCAGCCACUACUGCUCGCUCCACCUCUGCCCCAGCCACCACCGCUUCUGCUAUUCCGGUGAUUGUGAUGUGAUCCCACAGAAUUAUAAGAUGAAAGUGGAACAAAAGCUCUUCUGCUUGUGACUUAUUCCUCCAUUAUUGAACAUGCUCCCUUCGGAUUUUGGCUCAGAGAGGCAACCUGAGAGGCUGAAGACUCACCACCACCCCAGCCCCAAGGCUCCCGUUCCCGCCCCCUCCCACAGCCUGCGGCCCCACAGCCCCGCAGCAGCCACAGGGGGAACCAAAGAGACAGAAGCCUGCCCAGCUGCCCGGACCACAGACGCCAACACCCCCCGCCCCCCACCACACGCCGCCCGCCCGCGCCCCGCACGCUAGCCCACGACUGAGCGGCGGCGGCAGCAGCAGGCUGCAGGCUGCGGCGACUCGCACCGGCGCGCUCCUGGCAGCGCUCGCUUGCUAUUCCAAGUGACCUGGACUCGCCGGAUCGGUUGGCCCCGGGACCCGGGUCCCGGCCCCAGCUCCCGCUCGCGCCCCCGGCCCGGGUUCCAGCGCCCACACGCCCUCCUGCCCUUUCCCGCCCCUCCGUCCCCCAGCUCGCGGGAAGGGAGGUCGCGGCAGCGGCCUGGUGGCACCGGAGACCGUGGCGACAGCGGCGACAGUGGCGGCGGCGGUGGCGGCAGCGGCGGCGGCGGCGGCGGCGGAGGCUGCGGCGGCGACCGUGGCAGAGGCUGUGGCGGAGGCCUCCGUAGCUGAGGCGGAAGCAGAGGUGGAGGCCGAGGCCUCAGUAGAGGAGGCAGUGGGGGAGGCCACCCAGGGGGAGGCGACGGCGGCCCUGGCAGUGGGGGAAGAGGCGGAGGCCGCCCUGGCGGCAGCGGUUGUGGAGGCCAGCGCGGCUGAAGCCGCCGCCGCCGCCACAGCAGCA
rnacentral:lncRNA from 1 species